GGAGCAUGUGGUUUAAUUCGAAGAUACACGAAGAACCUUACCUGGCCUUGACAUGGUAGGAACCCUUAAGAGAUUAGGGGGUGCUAGCUUGCUAGAACCUACACACAGGUGCUGCACGGCUGUCGUCAGCUCGUGUCGUGAGAUGUUGGGUUAAGUCCCGCAACGAGCGCAACCCUCGUCCUUAGUUGCUAGCAGUUCGGCUGAGCACUCUAGGGAGACUGCCUUCGCAAGGAGGAGGAAGGUGAGGACGACGUCAAGUCAUCAUGGCCCUUACGGCCAGGGCUACACACGUGCUACAAUGGGGCGUACAGAGAGCUGCGAUACCGCGAGGUGGAGCCAAUCUCUUAAAGCGUCUCUCAGUUCGGAUUGUUCUCUGCAACUCGAGAACAUGAAGCUGGAAUCACUAGUAAUCGCAGAUCAGCUAUGCUGCGGUGAAUACGUUCCCGGGCCUU
rnacentral:rRNA from 1 species